CCCUUAGAUGUCCUGGGCCGCACGCGUGCUACACUGACGCAUACAGCGAGCACUUUCCAGUUCCGAGAGGCUACUGGUAAUCAUCAAUAUGCGUCGUGAUGGGGAUAGAUCUUUGGAAUUCUGGAUCUUGAACGAGGAAUGCCUAGUAAUCGCAGGUCAUUAGCCUGCGAUGAUUAAGUCCCUGCCCUUUGUACACACCGCCCGUCGCUACUACCGAUUUCGAGUGGUCAGGUGAAUCUUUCGGACUGUGGGCGCCCUUGAGGUGUUCGCGGAAAGUCAGGUAAAUCUUAUCACUUAGAGGAAGUAAAAGGCGUAACA
rnacentral:rRNA from 1 species